rnacentral:lncRNA from 1 species
CUGUUCUCUGUCAAUAAAGAAUUAAAUAUGCAUGUUUAUGGGGCUCAGGGUUAUUUUUCUUUGAGAGAGUUAAUUGAUGGAAGGUUAAAUAAAGCCACAAGUUUUUACUUAAAGGAAACAGAGAAAAAUGAAGAAUUACUUUAAUUAUAAGCAGCGUGUCAAAAGAAAUGUUUUCCAAAUUAAUCUUUUCUGGGAGUGAAACAACUCUUACUAUAAUUCAUCUUAACUCCUCUGAAAAAACAGAGUUGGGGGAAAUCCUACCCAAUCCUUCUCUUGUACACACACACCCACACCCACACAGUGUGUUCAAGUCAACUCCCACUUAGAUUGCAAUAAACGACAUGAACGAAUUAUAGACAUUAAAGCUUUUCUUUCCAAGGUUUUUGCUUUCAAAAUAUUUGUUUUUGCUUUUCAAAAAAGGUUUGCUUUUCAAAAUAUUUGUUUUCCCAUGUUUGGUGUGAGAACCACCCUUUUCUUAUUAAAGAAGAGGCUCAUUCUAGAGAGUGACUGCAAAAGCCUCCCUCCCACCAUCACCACCUGAUACCCCACAUCCUAAGGGUCAAAGGUCAGAUAUGUUACACAACGAAUUGUGUCUUUUAAAGGGAGCACGACUGAAAUAUUUCUGGAUAGAAAAGGCAGAACAUUCUUAGAAUAUCUUGACUGUUAACAUUUGUUCCUAAUCUAUCAAAAUUCUCUUACUCAUGUUUGCAGAGUUGCUGAGUAUUUUCUGAAGCCUUUUCAGAGUUGGAAAUCAGUCAAAUCCUAGUAGUAGCUAGGAUUUAAAGGGAUGGAGGAGGUGUCCUGUUGAUGUCUCUUUUUCCUUCAACAUCAACAAGAAAACCCAAGGUCUUUUUUUCUUAGAGAGGCGUAUUGCUACAUUUGGGGCAAUGCGUACAUAUGUGGUUUCGUUAGCUCCAGCGGGGGCUAAUCCUCUGACAGAGCCACCUCUCACACGAAACACUGAAUGGAGGCGAUCCCGAGAUGGAUGGAGCAGCAGCAGCGCAGGUUGCUGCAGCUGUGCUGCCAGAGAUUGUAAUUCAGGAACCAAUCUCAAGCUGAGCAGAGGAAAAAAUGAGAUGCUUCAUGAAAAUGGCCAAAUGUCAUCACCAGCUAUUUUGUGAGAAGAGCUAUGUUAGGAGCCAUCCACAUGUAAAAUGGACUUUCACCAAAUUCCAUCCAUCUGCCGGUCAUGGAAGCUCACAACAUGUAUGUCUCCUGAGGGAGCCUUUUCGUUUUGUGCUUUUUCUGGCACUAAGAAAUACAGACACUUGUGAUUUACUACUGGGCACUUAUAGGAAUGGAGUCAACUAUUUCCUAAGAAACUCAAAGACUGAAAUGAGAAAUUCAGAAAAUAAAAAUAUUUUCUGUGUUAGAAAACUAUAUACCAGAAAGCCUGAAAAGUGAGGCAAAGGGCACGAAAUUCUGGUUAAUAAGAUGUUGUAGAUUAGUGAGAACUUGAAAAUGUUUUUGCUUCUAGUAUAUUUUUUGGAAUUUCUAAACUAUAUUAGCUCCCUUUCUUACCUUAGGAAUUACAGUAUUGUGAUCAUGUGAGAAGAUAGUUCUAAAUAUUAAUAAAUAUUUUUAACUUCAUCAAAUA